rnacentral:rRNA from 1 species
AUGGAGCGCUCGCUCGCCGUCGUCUUGCUCGUCAUGCUCACGCUCUGGAGCGUGCCGGCCGCGGCCGGCGACGGGAGCAUUUCCCCGGCGCCGGAGGCGUGCCGCCUGGACGGGCUUCCCCGUGGCUCACCCGGAGAUGCUACAACGGCCGAAAUCGGGAUAAUGAACAACAGAAUACUAUCGGGAAGAGAAACAGGAGCUUUGACCAGAGGCUAUGUGAAGACACUCAGGAUUGCUGUGCCUCAAAAACCGGGGUUUAAAGCUUUUGUGAAUGCAACUUCUCAUAAAGUCAGUGGCUAUUGCAUUGAUAUCUUUGAGGCUGCUGCAAAGAAACUACCACGUGUUCUUCAUUAUAAGUUCGUUGUCGUUGAUGGUUCUUAUGACGAGCUAGUAUGCAACGUGUCUUUGGGGAUCUACGAUGCAGUAGUGGGUGACAUAACUAUAACCGCAGAGCGAGCUGUAGACGUGGACUUCACGAUGCCAUACACCGAGUCAGGCGUGUCACUGCUUGUGCUCACCGAGAAUGACUCCAAGCCAGCAAUUGAAUGGGUGUUUCUAAAGCCAUUAACAACAGAACUUUGGUUAGCACUUAUGGGGGGAUUCUUCUUCACUGGACUUGUUGUGUGGACGAUCGAGUGGCCCAGAAACCCGGAGUACCAAGGAUCGAGUUUGAGACAGUGCAGCACUGCUCUCUACUUUUCUUUCUCUACUUUGACAUUUUCUCAUGGUCAAAUUAUUAGAAGCCCCCUGUCGAAAAUUGUUGUGGUGAUAUGGUGCUUUGUUGUGCUGGUUAUAGUGCAGAGCUACACAGCUAGCUUAUCAUCCAUUUUGACUGCAAAGAGGCUCCGGCCCUCAGUGACAGAUCUUGAGCAGCUCCGAUCAAAUGGUGAUUAUAUUGGAUACCAAUCUGGAUCAUUUGUACAAUCUGUCUUGAAAAAACGAGGCUUCAACGUUAAUAGGUUAAAUGCCUACACGAAUAAAACGGAAUAUGCUGAAGCCUUGAGAAAGGGGUCAAAGAAUGGAGGUGUCUCGGCUAUCGUUGAUGAGAUCCCUUAUAUAACCUCGUUUCUCUCUGACCCUAAAUACCAUAAUGAAUUCCAGAUGGUCAAUCGCAUAUACAAGACACCUGGACUUGGUUUCGUGUUUCCGAAAGAGUCUCAGCUGGUGCAUGAUCUUUCGGUUGCCAUCCUGGAGUUGACAUUUGGGGCUGAGGGCUCACAAAUUGAAGAGAAAUGGUUAGGCAAAGCGACACCAUUGCCGAGCUAUGGCAUGCCCAACACAGAUGCGGCACCUCUCACUUUGCAAAGUUUCUCUGGUCUCUUCAUCAUCACUGUAUGUAUCUCAGCUCUCAUGCUGUUGAUAAGCAUUGCCAAGUCAGUUCAUGCCAAAUACACCGAAGUGAGGGAUUCUUAUAUGCAGAGUUCCGAGGGAGAUGGCGGAAGUGAAGGCCACGGAGGAUCUGGUCCGCUGCAGAACGGCACGGGCAACGGGUCUAUGGCUGAUCAACCCCACCAUGAAGCCAGAAAUGAGCAUCCUCAGGGUGUCAAUGGGAUCAGAGAAAGUCCUGGUGAUGUAGAACCCAAUGACUCUGUGCCCGAACCAGCCAUCCUAAUCGAGAUGAACACCCGAUGA